rnacentral:rRNA from 1 species
GACGAACGCUGGCGGCGUGCUUAACACAUGCAAGUCGAGCGGAAAGGCCCUUCGGGGUACUCGAGCGGCGAACGGGUGAGUAACACGUGAGUAACCUGCCCCCGACUUUGGGAUAACCCUCGGAAACGGGGGCUAAUAAUGGAUACGACACAGCUUCGCAUGGGGUCUGUGUGGAAAGUUUUUCGGGUUGGGAUGGGCUCGCGGCCUAUCAGCUUGUUGGUGGGGUGAUGGCGUCCCAAGGCGACGACGGGUAGCCGGCCUGGGAGGGGGACCGGCCACACGGGGACUGAGAGACGGCCCAGACUGCUACGGGAGGCAGCAGUGGGGAAUAUUGCACAAUGGGCGGAAGCCUGAUGCAGCGACGCCGCGUGAGGGAUGACGGCCUUCGGGUUGUAAACCUCUUUCAGCAGGGACGAAGCGUAAGUGACGGUACCUGCAGAAGAAGCGCCGGCUAACUACGUG